rnacentral:rRNA from 1 species
ACUACGGGAGGCAGCAGUGAGGAAUAUUGGUCAAUGGGCGGAAGCCUGAACCAGCCAAGUAGCGUGCAGGAUGACGGCCCUACGGGUUGUAAACUGCUUUUAUACGGGAAUAACGCGCCUUACGUGUAGGGCUUUGCAUGUACCGUAUGAAUAAGGACCGGCUAAUUCCGUGCCAGCAGCCGCGGUAAUACGGAAGGUCCGGGCGUUAUCCGGAUUUAUUGGGUUUAAAGGGAGCGUAGGCCGCAUGUCAAGCGUGCUGUGAAAUGUCCGGGCUCAACCCGGGCCUUGCAGCGCGAACUGGCGUGCUUGAGUCCGCGGAAAGCAUGCGGAAUUCGUCGUGUAGCGGUGAAAUGCUUAGAUAUGACGAAGAACCCCGAUUGCGAAGGCAGCUUGCUGCAGCGGAACUGACGCUGAUGCUCGAAAGCGCGGGUAUCGAACAGGAUUAGAUACCCUAGUAGUC